GACGAACGCUGGCGGCAUGCCUAACACAUGCAAGUCGAACGAAGCCUUCGGGCUUAGUGGCGCACGGGUGCGUAACGCGUGGGAAUCUGCCCUUUGGUUCGGAAUAACAGUUGGAAACGACUGCUAAUGCCGGAUGAUGACGAAAGUCCAAGAUUUAUCGCCAGAGGAUGAGCCCGCGUAGGAUUAGCUAGUUGGUGUGGUAAAGGCGCACCAAGGCGACGAUCCUUAGCUGGUCUGAGAGGAUGAUCAGCCACACUGGGACUGAGACACGGCCCAGACUCCUACGGGAGGCAGCAGUGGGGAAUAUUGGACAAUGGGCGAAAGCCUGAUCCAGCAAUGCCGCGUGAGUGAUGAAGGCCCUAGGGUUGUAAAGCUCUUUUACCCGGGAUGAUAAUGACAGUACCGGGAGAAUAAGCCCCGGCUAACUCCGUGCCAGCCGCCGCCGUAA
rnacentral:rRNA from 1 species